ACGAAGGGAGUAAGCGUUGUUCGGAAUUACUGGGCGUAAAGGGCGUGUAGGCGGACUGUCAAGUUAGGGGUGAAAUCCCGGGGCUCAACCUCGGAACGGCCUUUAAUACUGGCAGUCUAGAGUCUGUGAUGGGAUAGUGGAAUACUUAGUGUAGAGGUGAAAUUCGUAGAUAUUAAGUGGAACAUCAGUGGCGAAGGCGACUAUCUGGCACAGCACUGACGCUGAGGCGCGAAAGCGUGGGGAGCAAACAGG
rnacentral:rRNA from 1 species